rnacentral:rRNA from 1 species
UACGUAGGGAGCAAGCGUUGUCCGGAAUCAUUGGGCGUAAAGCGCGCGUAGGUGGCCCUGUAAGUCCGUUGUGAAAGUCGAAGGCUCAACCUUUGAAAGCCGAUGGAUACUGCAGGGCUAGAGUACGGAAGAGGCGAGUGGAAUUCCUGGUGUAGCGGUGGAAUGCGCAGAUAUCAGGAGGAACACCAAUAGCGAAGGCAGCUCGCUGGGACGUUACUGACACUGAGGCGCGAAAGCGUGGGGAGCGAACAGG